rnacentral:lncRNA from 1 species
GUAGGGUUGGCCUGGUGUAGGCAUAGGGGUUGGCACAGUGUAAGUGUAGGGUUAUCAUGGUGUAGGUGUAGGGUUGGGAUGGUGUGAGGGCAGUAUGGCACAGCCGGCUCCGGUUGCUGCAGGCAGCACUGAGUUUUUUGUAAGACAACCUGGUGGAACUCAUCUGCUCACAUGGCAAGCAGAUGCUGAAGUUGUUUCCUCAGGUCAGGUUCAUCCUCUGCCAACAUGAGCUGUUCGUGUGACACCGGAGCGGUCCCCGCCGCAGCGCUGGCCCUCUGAAGAGCAGAGCUGUGCCCAUGGAGAGCAGCUGCUGGAGUUUUCCAGCAGAUUUCACCCGCCUGCUGCCAAACCCCUGCGGAGCUCUCGCUCGUAGACGA